rnacentral:rRNA from 1 species
UGGGGAAUUUUGCACAAUGGGGGAAACCCUGAUGCAGCGACGCCGCGUGAUUUAGAAGGCCUUCGGGUUGUAAAACUCUUUUCUAUGGGAAGAAAAUGACAGUACCAUAGGAAUAAGGACCGGCUAAUUACGUGCCAGCAGCCGCGGUAAUACGUAAGGUCCGAGCGUUGUCCGGAAUCAUUGGGCGUAAAGGGUACGUAGGCGGGUAAGCAAGUUAGAAGUGAAAUCCUAUAGCUCAACUAUAGUAAGCUUUUAAAACUGCUCAUCUUGAGGUAUGGAAGGGAAAGUGGAAUUCCUAGUGUAGCGGUGAAAUGCGCAGAUAUUAGGAGGAAUACCGGUGGCGAAGGCGACUUUCUGGCCAUAACCUGACGCUGAGGUACGAAAGCGGGGGUAGCAAACAGG